rnacentral:rRNA from 1 species
CCUACGGGGGGCUGCAGUGGGGAAUAUUGGACAAUGGGCGAAAGCCUGAUCCAGCCAUGCCGCGUGUGUGAAGAAGGCCUUCGGGUUGUAAAGCACUUUCAGUGGGGAAGAAAGCCUUGGGGCUAAUACCCUCGAGGAAGGACAUCACCCACAGAAGAAGCACCGGCUAACUCCGUGCCAGCAGCCGCGGUAAUACGGAGGGUGCGAGCGUUAAUCGGAAUUACUGGGCGUAAAGCGCGCGUAGGCGGUCUGAUAAGCCGGUUGUGAAAGCCCCGGGCUCAACCUGGGAACGGCAUCCGGAACUGUCAGGCUAGAGUGCAGGAGAGGAAGGUAGAAUUCCCGGUAUAGCGGUGAAAUGCGUAGAGAUCGGGAGGAAUACCAGUGGCGAAGGCGGCCUUCUGGACUGACACUGACGCUGAGGUGCGAAAGCGUGGGUAGCAAACAGGAUUAGAUACCCGUGUAGUC